GUCCUUUUCUUCUAGGUGGUUAGGAAGCUGCUCUUUCACGGCAGAAACGUGAGUUCAAAUCUCAUAAAGGACA
rnacentral:tRNA from 1 species